rnacentral:rRNA from 1 species
AAGCAUAUCAAUAAGCGGAGGAAAAGAAACCAACAGGGGAUUGCCCCAGUAACGGCGAGUGAAGCGGCAACAGCUCAAAUUUGAAAUCUGGCUUCGGCCCGAGUUGUAAUUUGCAGAGGAUGUAUUUGGUGCGGUGCCUUCCGAGUUCCCUGGAAUGGGACGCCAUAGAGGGUGAGAGCCCCGUCUGGUUGGACACCAAGCUUGUGUAAUACUCCUUCAACGAGUCGAGUAGUUUGGGAAUGCUGCUCUAAAUGGGAGGUAAAUCUCUUCUAAAGCUAAAUACGGGCCAGAGACCGAUAGCGCACAAGUAGAGUGAUCGAAAGAUGAAAAGCACCUUGAAAAGGGGGUUAAACAGUACGUGAAAUUGUUGAAAGGGAAGCGUUUAUGACCAGACUUGUGUCGUAUGGCUCAUCCGAGGUUUUCCCCGGUGCACUCCAUGCGGCUCAGGCCAACAUCGGUUCUUGUUGGGGGAGAAGAACAGUAGGAACGUGGCUCUUGAGUGUUAUAGCCUAUUGUACGAUACCUUGAUGGGGACCGAGGACCGCGCUUCGGCUAGGAUGUUGGCGUAAUGGUCAUUAGCGACCCGUCUUGAAACACGGACCAAGGAGUCGUCCAUUAGAGCGAGCGUUUGGGUGUCAAACCCGCACGCGUAAUGAAAGUGAAAUAGGUGAGAGCUUCGGCGCAUCAUCGACCGAUCCUGAAGUGUACGGAUGGAUUUGAGUAAGAGUUUUAACGGACGGACCCGAAAGACAGUGAACUAUGCUUGAAUAGGGUGAAGCCAGAGGAAACUCUGGUGGAGGCUCGCAGCGGUUCUGACGUGCAAAUCGAUCGUCAAAUUUGAGCAUGGGGGGCGAAAGACUAAUCGAACUGUCUAGUAGCUGGUUACCGCCGA